rnacentral:rRNA from 1 species
GAUGAACGCUGGCGGCGUGCCUAAUACAUGCAAGUCGAGCGAACAGAUGAGGAGCUUGCUCCUCUGACGUUAGCGGCGGACGGGUGAGUAACACGUGGAUAACCUACCUAUAAGACUGGGAUAACUUCGGGAAACCGGAGCUAAUACCGGAUAAUAUAUUGAACCGCAUGGUUCAAUAGUGAAAGACGGUUUUGCUGUCACUUAUAGAUGGAUCCGCGCCGCAUUAGCUAGUUGGUAAGGUAACGGCUUACCAAGGCAACGAUGCGUAGCCGACCUGAGAGGGUGAUCGGCCACACUGGAACUGAGACACGGUCCAGACUCCUACGGGAGGCAGCAGUAGGGAAUCUUCCGCAAUGGGCGAAAGCUUGACGGAGCAACGCCGCGUGAGUGAUGAAGGUCUUCGGAUCGUAAAACUCUGUUAUUAGGGAAGAACAAAUGUGUAAGUAACUAUGCACGUCUUGACGGUACCUAACCAGAAAGCCACGGCUAACUACGUG